rnacentral:rRNA from 1 species
UAAUACGUAGGUGGCGAGCGUUGUCCGGAAUUACUGGGUGUAAAGGGAGCGCAGGCGGGAGAGCAAGUCAGCUGUGAAAACUAUGGGCUUAACCCAUAAACUGCAGUUGAAACUGUUUUUCUUGAGUGGAGUAGAGGUAGGCGGAAUUCCGAGUGUAGCGGUGAAAUGCGUAGAUAUUCGGAGGAACACCAGUGGCGAAGGCGGCCUACUGGGCUCUAACUGACGCUGAGGCUCGAAAGUGUGGGGAGCAAACAGG